rnacentral:misc_RNA from 1 species
GUAAAGUUUCUAUUGAUACUUUAAAAUUUCAACUUAAGUUGUUAUAUUGUUAUUAUUAUUUUACAGCGUAUGUACGUGUUCAUGUGAUUUUUCAUUUUUCGAUUUGCUGUGGCUUUUAUGUCUUAAUUAGUAGUUUGCUGAAGUGUAAUUAGUGUUGAUCGAAUGUUUAAGCAUUUCAUCUAGUUUUCUUGGAGUUGUGCUUGCAAGUGGGAGAUUGACCAGAAAAACUGCUGCAUAAAAUAUGGGAAAAUGAAAACUGAACUCCUGCUGAUUGUUAUUCAUUUUGCAAGCAACUAAAUUAAUGUGCUAGAAUGAAUUCAGAUGAUUAAAUGUAUGCAUACAAGUAACAACCUUUUGAAUACACUCCUAGUUUUCUCUGCUUUGAUAUGUUGCAAGUUCACUUUUCUUUUUCCCAUUAGCUCUUAAGCUUGUUUAAAAUGGAUUUGCAGCUUCAGUUUUUG